rnacentral:rRNA from 1 species
GACGAACGCUGGCGGCGUGCUUAACACAUGCAAGUCGAACGGAAAGGCCCUGCUUUUGUGGGGUGCGCGAGUGGCGAACGGGUGAGUAACACGUGAGUAACCUGCCCUUUACUUUGGGGUAACUUCAGGAAACUGGGGCUAAUACCGGGUAUGAGCUCCUGCUGCAUGGUGUGGGUUGUAAAGUUUCGGCGGUUGGGGAUGGACAGGGGGCUUAUCAGCUUGUUGGUGAGGUGGUGGCUUACCAGGGCUUUGACGGGUAGCCGGCCUGAGAGGGUGACAGGCCACAUUGGCACUGGGGUAGGGGCAAGACUGAUACGGGAGGAAGGAGUGGGGAAUAUUGCAAAAUGGGCGGAGGCCUGAUGCAGCAACGCCGCGUGCGGGAUGACGGCUUUCGGGUUGUAACCCGCUUUCGCCUGUGACGAAGAGUGAGUGACGGUAAUGGGUAAAGAAGCACCGGCUAACUACGUG